rnacentral:rRNA from 1 species
UUGGUCAUUUAGAGGAAGUAAAAGUCGUAACAAGGUCUCCGUAGGUGAACCAGCGGAGGGAUCAUUACCGAGUUUACAACUCCCAAACCCCUGUGAACAUACCAAUUGUUGCCUCGGCGGAUCAGCCCGCUCCCGGUAAAACGGGACGGCCCGCCAGAGGACCCCUAAACUCUGUUUCUAUAUGUAACUUCUGAGUAAAACCAUAAAUAAAUCAAAACUUUCAACAACGGAUCUCUUGGUUCUGGCAUCGAUGAAGAACGCAGCAAAAUGCGAUAAGUAAUGUGAAUUGCAGAAUUCAGUGAAUCAUCGAAUCUUUGAACGCACAUUGCGCCCGCCAGUAUUCUGGCGGGCAUGCCUGUUCGAGCGUCAUUUCAACCCUCAAGCUCAGCUUGGUGUUGGGACUCGCGGUAACCCGCGUUCCCCAAAUCGAUUGGCGGUCACGUCAAGCUUCCAUAGCGUAGUAAUCAUACACCUCGUUACUGGUAAUCGUCGCGGCCACGCCGUUAAACCCCAACUUCUGAAUGUUGACCUCGGAUCAGGUAGGAAUACCCGCUGAACUUAAGCAUAUCAAUAAG